rnacentral:rRNA from 1 species
GACGAACGCUGGCGGCGUGCUUAACACAUGCAAGUCGAACGGAAAGGCCCUGCUUUUGUGGGGUGCUCGAGUGGCGAACGGGUGAGUAACACGUGAGUAACCUGCCCUUGACUUUGGGAUAACUUCAGGAAACUGGGGCUAAUACCGGAUAGGAGCUCCUGCUGCAUGGUGGGGGUUGGAAAGUUUCGGCGGUUGGGGAUGGACUCGCGGCUUAUCAGCUUGUUGGUGGGGUAGUGGCUUACCAAGGCUUUGACGGGUAGCCGGCCUGAGAGGGUGACCGGGGAGAAUGGGACGGAGAUAGGGAGCAGGAGGGAACGGGAGGAAGCAGUGGGGAAUAUGGAACAACGGGAGGAAGCGUGAUGGAGAGCAGCGGUGUGAGGGAAGAAGGGGUGAGGGUUGUAAAAAGAUUUAGCGGGUGAAGAAGAGUGAGUGACGGUAAUGGAUAAAGAAGAAAAGGCUAACUACGUG